UGAUCAAGCAAAUACUUGACGACGUCGAUUGCCUUUUUCCAUUGAUCUAAACCAAACAAUAACAGAUGAAAUAGACCAUAUAGAUGAUAAAAUUUGUGGAGAUCAACCAUCAAUGGCCAAUGUUAUCCCCACUCAGACAUUUCAACAAGCCAAUCCAGUUUUAAAUGAUCAACAAAUACAUGAAGAACAUAUGUUGCCCUUUCCUACGGAUCUUAACCAAACAACAACAAUGGAUGCAAUGCAAACUAGAGAUGGUAGUGAUGAUACUAUAAUGGAGGAUCAUGGUCAAUAUUUUCCUGGAUAACCAUUAUGGUGUAGGAUACUUUAUUGUAAUGGAUUAUCUAUUGAGUGUGUAACUCUAUUUAGAAAUUGGAUCUUGGAUGGAGUGGCUUGUUUUUUCAAGAUAGAGACAUUAUUUGCAUACUAUAUUUUUGAGUUGGACUACUAUUGUGUAUGUG